rnacentral:rRNA from 1 species
UACGUAGGUGGCAAGCGUUGUCCGGAUUUACUGGGCGUAAAGAGCGCGCAGGCGGUCGUUUAAGUCGAAUGUGAAAGCCCCCGGCUCAACUGGGGAGGGUCAUUCGAUACUGAUCGACUUGAAGGCAGGAGAGAGAAGUGGAAUUCCCGGUGUAGUGGUGAAAUGCGUAGAUAUCGGGAGGAACACCUGUGGCGAAAGCGGCUCACUGGACCACAACUGACGCUGAGGCGCGAAAGCUAGGGGAGCAAACAGG